CUACGGGUGGCAGCAGUGAGGAAUAUUGCACAAUGGGGGGAACCCUGAUGCAGCAACGCCGCGUGGAGGAUGACGCAUUUCGGUGUGUGAACUCCUUUUAUAUGUCAAGAAAAUGACGGUAGCAUAUGAAUAAGCACCGGCUAACUCCGUGCCAGCGAGCCGCGGUAAUACGGAGGGUGCAAGCGUUACUCGGAAUCACUGGGCGUAAAGGACGCGUAGGCGGGUUGGAAAGUCAGGUGUGAAAUCCUACAGCUUAACUGUAGAACUGCACUUGAAACUUCUAAUCUAGAGUAUGGGAGGGGGAGAUGGAAUUAGUGGUGUAGGGGUAAAAUCCGUAGAUAUCACUAGGAAUACCUAAAGCGAAGGCGAUCUCCUGGAACAUUACUGACGCUAAGGCGUGAAAGCGUGGGGAGCAAACAGGAUUAGAUACCCUCGUAGUC
rnacentral:rRNA from 1 species